rnacentral:rRNA from 1 species
CCUACGGGUGGCAGCAGUGGGGAAUAUUGCACAAUGGGGGAAACCCUGAUGCAGCGACGCCGCGUGAGUGAAGAAGUCUUUCGGUAUGUAAAGCUCUAUCAGCAGGAACGAGACAAGACGGUACCUUACCAAGAAGCCCCGGCUAACUACGUGCCAGCAGCCGCGGUAAUACGUAGGGGGCAAGCGUUAUCCGGAAUCACUGGGUGUAAAGGGAGCGUAGACGGCUGUGCAAGCCUGAAGUGAAAGGCGGGGGCCCAACCCCAGGACUGCAUUGGAAACUGUACGGCUUGAGUGCAGGAGAGGUAAGUGGAAUUCCUAGUGUAGCGGUGAAAUGCGUAGAUAUUAGGAGGAACACCAGUGGCGAAGGCAGCUUACUGGACUGUAACUGACGUUGAGGCUCGAAAGCGUGGGGAGCAAACAGGAUUAGAUACCCUAGUAGUC